UCGCCCAUGACUAUGCUACAAACAUGAAGAGGAAGCUUGACCAGAUGAAGGAAUUUGAUGGUAAGGUUUUACUUGAUCAUCAGCGGUUUGUGGGUUUGUUCCAAAGGCAUUUAUUGCCUUCGUCCUCUGGGGCUGUACCUGGUAAUGAAGCUUCAAAUGAUGAACCUCCAAUGCCUCAUCCUUCUGGGGUUUUGUCAAGUACUGAGGCUCCGGAUAACCACCCUCCGGUGCUUUCUCUUUCUGAGGCUCUACCGACUGCUGAGACUUCCCCUAAGCAACCUUUGUGAAGGCUCCCUUUUGUUUAUUUAUUUUGACUCAUGUAUAUGUACAUAUUUGUGGCUUUAUCGAAAAUAUUAAUAAAUAAGCUUUGCUUCAUUUCAACAUAUUGUGUUAAAUACACCAAAGCCUUCUUCAGAAAGUUCUUUGAAUUUUUUCUUUUGUUGAAACUUGUAUUGUUGAAGCUUUGUGAGUGAAGCAUGUAGUUUGAGGUAGUGUUCCCUUAAUUUCCCGAGUGAGGAAAACUUCUCGGUUGGAGACUUGAAAAAUCCAAGUCACUGAGUGGUUGUGAGACUGCCGAGUAUCAAGGUGCAGUAGCAUAUGGUGGGAGUCCCCCAAGUCUUCAGGCGAGGAGAGUUGCCGAAUGAGGUGUCUUGCUUGCUACUAAUUUGUCAAAGUAACGAAGCCGUGUUUUGAUGUCACACCUUCAUAUAUGCCUUAUCUAAAAAUAUUUCCAACUUUCGUGUGUUUGAUGCUGCAUGUUAUUGACUAGACAAGAUCAAGUGCAAUUAGUAGCUUUUCUCUCUUUUUCAUCUUUUCUUUGGUGGAAUUGCUUUUCGUUUCCACUAAUCAGCCUUAGUGGAUGCAAGAUAACACCAUUCUCUAUAGCUCAUAUUGCAAAGUCGUCUUCAUGAAAGUUGUUCCUUAUCUUGUGAACUACAACAUAUCCAAGUUUGAGAUCCAUCGGAGUAGUACAACUUCAGAAAUGCAGGUAUGAUGAGUAACUGUUCAUCAAUUUUCUGUUAACCCGUCAGACUUGUUGUGAGCUUCGAAACUCCAUUUUCUCUUGUUCAGAUCAACAUACUUUCUUCAUCGAAGUUGUUCCUCAUCAUCUCUUCCAUAACAUAUCAAAAAUUCAGAACAAACUAACGGUUGAAUAUUUCCAGAUCUUCGAAACACCGCAGCAGCUUCGAAGCUUGCAGAAAUCUGACCGUCAUGUUUGGAGCUUCAACACUCUAACUUCCGUCGCUCAAAUAGAAAAAUUUCCUUCGUGAAAGUUGUUCAUCUGCUCAAGAACUAUAAGAUGUCCAAAAUUCAGCUCCACUGGAAUUAGCUUCGCACUAUCUUGAUGAAGAGUGUGUGAAGCUUUUAUGUGUUUUGGUGUUGAAAUUUGGUAUUGUAGGUGAAGUUUUGGUGUUGAAGCUUUGUGUUUGAAGCUUUAUAGGUGAAGCUUGAUAGGUGAAGCUUUGUGUUUGAAGCUUUA
rnacentral:lncRNA from 1 species